ACGGGUGAGUAAUACAUCGGAACGUGCCUAGUAGUGGGGGAUAACGCAGCGAAAGCUGUGCUAAUACCGCAUAAGAUCUAAGGAUGAAAGCGGGGGAUCGCAAGACCUCGUGCUAUUAGAGCGGCCGAUGGCAGAUUAGGUAGUUGGUGGGGUAAAGGCUUACCAAGCCUGCGAUCUGUAGCUGGUCUGAGAGGACGACCAGCCACACUGGGACUGAGACACGGCCCAGACUCCUACGGGAGGCAGCAGUGGGGAAUUUUGGACAAUGGGCGAAAGCCUGAUCCAGCAAUGCCGCGUGCAGGAUGAAGGCCCUCGGGUUGUAAACUGCUUUUGUACGGAACGAAAAGGCUUCUUCUAAUAAAGGAGGCUCAUGACGGUACCGUAAGAAUAAGCACCGGCUAACUACGUGCCAGCAGCCGCGGUAAUACGUAGGGUGCGAGCGUUAAUCGGAAUUACUGGGCGUAAAGCGUGCGCAGGCGGUUAUGUAAGACAGAGGUGAAAUCCCCGGGCUCAACCUGGGAACUGCCUUUGUGACUGCAUGGCUAGAGUGCGGCAGAGGGGGAUGGAAUUCCGCGUGUAGCAGUGA
rnacentral:rRNA from 1 species